rnacentral:rRNA from 1 species
UGGGGAAUAUUGCACAAUGGGGGAAACCCUGAUGCAGCGACGCCGCGUGAACGAAGAAGGUAUUCGUAUCGUAAAGUUCUGUCCUAUGGGAAGAUAAUGACAGUACCAUAGAAGAAAGCUCCGGCUAAAUACGUGCCAGCAGCCGCGGUAAUACGUAUGGAGCGAGCGUUGUCCGGAAUUAUUGGGCGUAAAGGGUACGCAGGCGGUUUAAUAAGUCGAAUGUUAAAGAUCGGGGCUCAACCCCGUAAAGCAUUGGAAACUGAUAAACUUGAUUAGUGGAGAGGAAAGUGGAAUUCCUAGUGUAGUGGUGAAAUACGUAGAUAUUAGGAGGAAUACCAGUAGCGAAGGCGACUUUCUGGACACAAACUGACGCUGAGGUACGAAAGCGUGGGGAGCAAACAGG